rnacentral:lncRNA from 1 species
GACAGUUUUUUUCCUUUUAUUCAUAAAAACAAAUUUGCAACAAUUUAUUAAAAAUUUAUACCAUGCAAUAGGGGUAUGAGAAACUCCUCAUUUACAUUUGAUUCUGGCAGUUCCAGUCUAAUUUAAAGCAUUUGUGCACUAACGUUCAUUGGAAAACACCUUCAGGCUGAAGCCUCUUAGGAAAUGUAUGGUGUGUUUGCUGCAUAUAAAAGAACAGAACCGUUAAAUAGCUAGAGUCACUUCUGUGGGUCUUGUUAUUUGUGGGGAAAUUAAAAAAAAUUGGGUGAACCUACAGUAUCAUUAAGACAGAGAAUGUACUGUGUGGGUUACUCUAGAAGACUGUGCACGCUCAGGAGUCACAACGGGUCACGGAUGCACACACUCACCUCCGACUGUCCGAUACUUUUGUUUUUUUUCCUGCUAUGCUGGAUUAAUAUUUCUACAGGUAUUGUUUUUUCCAUAACCUCUCUUUGGGGGAGUGGGGGGGAAAUGCUAUGCUACGUGAAAUAGGGUGUUUUGAAAUGUUGGCGAUGGUUGAGACUCCCAUGGGCCCUUUUGUCAAAACCUGGUGGUGACAGCGCUGUAUUCCUGACUUCC